CGCAAGCCUGACGGAGCAAGACCGCGUGGGGGAGGAAGGCUCUUGGGUUGUAAACCUCUUUUCUCAGGGAAGAAGCUCUGACGGUACCUGAGGAAUCAGCCUCGGCUAACUCCGUGCCAGCAGCCGCGGUAAUACGGAGGAGGCAAGCGUUAUCCGGAAUUAUUGGGCGUAAAGAGUCCGUAGGUGGUUCAUCAAGUCUGCUGUUAAAGCGUGCAGCUCAACUGCAUAUAGGCAGUGGAAACUGUUGAACUAGAGUAUGGUAGGGGUAGGGGGAAUUCCCGGUGUAGCGGUGAAAUGCGUAGAGAUCGGGAAGAACAUCGGUGGCGAAAGCGCUCUACUGGACGGCAACUGACACUCAGGGACGAAAGCUAGGGGAGCG
rnacentral:rRNA from 1 species